UUGAAGUCUGUCUGCAGUGUGG
rnacentral:misc_RNA from 1 species